rnacentral:lncRNA from 1 species
CCCUGUUAGUCCCUACAACGAAUUGCAGAUACGUUGACUAGCGCCUAAAUUAAAUAUCCAGGAAUUGGAGCUCACUGUAAAAGCACUCUCUAUGAUAGAAAUAGUCCCUUCUAAAGUUCGUGUCAUAAGGCUCGCAAUACGCACCCUGUAUUUCUUCUUCCAACGUUCAUCCUUUCCACAAUGAAAGCAUGUUCCUUUGGAUUUUAUUGCCUUCUUCUUAUGUAACCUUUUCCUUGUGAUUGCAUUCUCACUCCCACUGUCCUUUUUGAAACCUUGUUCAAACUUACAUCACAUGUCAAUCAUCUCGGUAAAAGUAUGAUCGAAUUGUUGGAAAUAUGCCCUGAAAGUCAAUCUUUGGAAGAACCUUUCAGGACAAUUGAAUCGAUGUAUGGAUGACUCUUAUACAUCAAAUGGCAAAGAUACUAAUUAGGACUAUCUCAAUAAACGAUAUAUGUCCUAAAUAGUGUAUCCAUGGACAAUGGAUCGAUUGAAGAAGUAAUCUAAUGAUGUUAGACUAAAGAGACCUUCUUCACAUAACCAAAUGUCCAAAAAGGUUCCUGGUCAUUGGAUUGUCGGAGGGAUACUGACAAUGCGUAGACCGGUACAUACUGUGUCCCCUUCAAUUGGAAGGAUGGAAAGUCUCAUCCCAUUCGUGUUGUGACGCUAAGACAAGUAUGUAGGUGCUCAUUAAGGGAAUGAGUUCACUGAACACAAUCGAACGAGAGUACUUGCAUGGAGGUCUACUCACAUGUCAAGCAAAUAACUCUAAUGGUUGGAAUAAUGUAAGUAGUCCUUUGACCUGAGGCAUCGUCGUUGUCUUGUGGUUAAGUACUUGAUCUUUGAUUAUGUCAAAAGUCACUCUAUCAGAAUGUCAACGGCAUAGUUGGGGUUAAGCCACUUAGUCAUAAAGGCAAGUGUAUGCGCAACAAGGAAUCUCUAAUCCUCGAUAAGAAAGGAAGAAUACUCUAAGAUAUGAUUCGGGAAUCUUCGGCCGAAGUAUCGAGCGUAAU